AUUGAACGCUGGCGGCAGGCUUAACACAUGCAAGUCGAACGAGCGGCGGACGGGUGAGUAAUGUCUGGGAAACUGCCUGAUGGAGGGGGAUAACUACUGGAAACGGUAGCUAAUACCGCAUACCAUCAGAUGUGCCCAGAUGGGAUUAGCUGGUAGGUGGGGUACUGGCUCACCUAGGCGACGAUCCCUAGCUGGUCUGAGAGGAUGACCAGCCACACUGGAACUGAGAUACGGUCCAGACUCCUACGGGAGGCAGCAGUGGGGAAUAUUGCACAAUGGGCGCAAGCCUGAUGCAGCCAUGCCGCGUGUAUGAAGAAGGCCUUCGGGUUGUAAAGUACUUUCAGCGAGGAGGCGUUACUCGCAGAAGAAGCACCGGCUAACUCCGUGCCAGCAGCCGCGGUAAUAC
rnacentral:rRNA from 1 species